UACAGAGGUCCCAAGCGUUGUUCGGAUUCACUGGGCGUAAAGGGUGCGUAGGUGGUGAGGUAAGUCGGAUGUGAAAGCUCGGAGCUCAACUCCGAAAUGGCAUUGGAAACUACCUUGCUCGAGGGUUGGAGGGGGGACUGGAAUGCUUGGUGUAGCAGUGAAAUGCGUAGAUAUCAGGAGGAACACCGGUGGCGAAGGCGGGUCUCUGGGCAAUAACUGACGCUGAGGAGCGAAAGCGUGGGGAGCAAACAGG
rnacentral:rRNA from 1 species